rnacentral:rRNA from 1 species
CAGCCCCGCGGGAAUACGAGGGGGGCAAGCGUUGUUCGGAAUUAUUGGGCGUAAAGGGUGCGUAGGCGGCCCCGCAAGUCUCAUGUGAAAUCUUCAGGCUCAACUUGAAGUCUGCAUGGGAAACUGCGGGGCUGGAGUAUGGGAGAGGUGAGUGGAAUUCCUGGUGUAGCGGUGAAAUGCGUAGAUAUCAGGAGGAACACCUGUGGCGAAAGCGGCUCACUGGACCAUAACUGACGCUGAGGCACGAAAGCUAGGGGAGCAAACAGGAUUAGAUACCCCCGUAGUCCCUGUCUCUUAUACA